UCAGAAAGCAUGCCAAUGGCAUCUUUAUUGUCGCUCCACUGGUCCAUUGCAAUGAACCUGUAUAAUUGCACGGUUUCGGUGUUACAAUACGUGUGCAUCCCAACUUCUCAGACUCAGGUGCUUCGGUGAAUUCGGAGUUACAUCAGAGUGUAAUUGUAUAAAUAUGACCGAAUUCACCGAAUAACAAGAAUCGUGAUCUCUCAAAGUAUCACGG